rnacentral:miRNA from 1 species
AAUGCAGGAUACAGUUAAAUUUGAAUUUCAGAUAAACAAACAAAAAAAUUUUUGGUAUAAGUAUUCCCUUGCAAUAUUUGGGACAUACUUAUGCUAAAAAAAUAAUUGUUUAUCUGAAAUUCAAAUUUAACUGGGCAUCUUAUGUUUU